AAGCAACGUCCUGCCAAACCCGUC
rnacentral:siRNA from 1 species